UAUAUAUAUAUAAACUUUUAUUUAAUAAUUUACAAUAAAUAUUUUUAAAUGUUUUUAUUUUCAGUGAGAUUUUUCUGGGAUAUGAUAAUAUCCUGAGAAAAAACCUCAAACAUUGAAAAUCUCCUGAGAAAUCUCUGGGCCGAGAAAUUACUGAGAACGAGAUUUUUCACUUUUUAGUAUGCUAGGAAUACUCAUUUUAGAUGACAGGUAUCUGUAAGGCCCACUGCUCUGGACUCCAAUCUGUAGCUUUGGGAUAUGGUUUUGUACUGGGUAAUGGCCUGCUCUCUGGUUGGUAGGUGGCCUUGAAGCAAUACGUACUGAUGUGGAGGUGGUUCCCUGUUUCUGGAUCAUAAUGUUUCCUUUAUUGGUUAGAUUCGAAAGAUACCCGACACCAUUUCUUUGAUCAUGCACCUGCAACAAUACAAGGAUUGCUUGAUUUUCGAAAAGGUUUAGCUUUUAUGCAUAUAUGAAGCCUAUUUUAAUAAGAAAUGUGUUUUUACCUGGACUGAUGUUCUGAUCUGGUUGUGUUGAAGUGGCAUGGUUACUGCAAUUUCAUAUACCAGGGAGGAAAGUCAGAUGGUUUCACGGGGGUUUUCACUGGAAGAUGACAAGUCUUGUUACUGAUUGUCCAAGCUGCAUCCAUGGUCAGUUUUGAUCCAGCAUUGUUCAAUGGGCUACAGUUUUCAUGGCAAUCUCGAGGGUUGGGAUUUGUUCUGAGGGUCCUUUAACAAAAAAGGCUUCUGCUCAUGGCUGCUAAUCAAGAUACAGGGUUCUUUUUAUUACUCUUUGAUUUGGGUGUUUUCCAUUGUGGGUCGAAAUUUUAUAUUGCUGGAGAAACACCAAGGGCCUAGCAGCAGCAUGCGAGGAUCCAACACAUUCAUCCAGAAGGUUUUUGUCAAAAUUCACACUUCGCGGGGAUCUCACCUUCCAGGUGAAGUGACUUACCAGUAGUUUGGACUUUGGCAGCUUGGAUUUGGAUUUUUACUCCAAAUCCAGAUUCCUGAGACUUCCAUUCAGUUUGUUGUGCUUGGGAAACUGGUUCUUAGAAACUGAUUCUUAAAUUUGUACAUGGAGUCUACAUUUACUGAAAUUUAUUAACCGACUAUAUUGCGGAACAUACUGUUCCCACAGCAGUCCCAAAAUUAGAUGGGUCCAACAAUCCUAACCUCUCAUUUUGGGCCACUUGUUUGUUGAAAUAGGACUGUUGUAUGUGUUUCAUUUUUAACUGUUCAAUGAAUGUCUAUCAAUCUGAUAAUCAGAUAAUUAAAUAGUUCAUGAUA